rnacentral:rRNA from 1 species
GACAGAGGGUGCAAACGUUGUUCGGAAUUACUGGGCGUAAAGCGCGUGUAGGCGGCUAUGCAAGUCGGGCGUGAAAUCCCACGGCUCAACCGUGGAAGUGCACUCGAAACUGCGUAGCUAGAGUCCUGGAGAGGAAGGUGGAAUGCUUGGUGUAGAGGUGAAAUUCGUAGAUAUCAAGCGGAACACCGGUGGCGAAGGCGGCCUUCUGGACAGUGACUGACGCUGAGACGCGAAGGCCAGGGGAGCAAACGGG